rnacentral:rRNA from 1 species
GAUGAACGCUGGCGGCGUGCCUAAUACAUGCAAGUCGAGCGAACGGACGAGAAGCUUGCUUCUCUGAUGUUAGCGGCGGACGGGUGAGUAACACGUGGAUAACCUACCUAUAAGACUGGGAUAACUUCGGGAAACCGUAGCUAAUACCGGAUAAUAUUUUGAACCGCAUGGUUCAAAAGUGAAAGACGGUCUUGCUGUCACUUAUAGAUGGAUCCGCGCUGCAUUAGCUAGUUGGUAAGGUAACGGCUUACCAAGGCAACGAUGCAUAGCCGACCUGAGAGGGUGAUCGGCAACACUGGAACGGAGAAACGGUCAAGACUCCGACGGGAGGCAGCAGUAGGGAAUCUUCCGAAAUGGGCGAAAGCCUGACGGAGAAACGCCGCGGGAGUGAUGAAGGUCUUCGGAUCGUAAAACUCUGUUAUUAGGGAAGAACAUAUGUGUAAGUAACUGUGCACAUCUUGACGGUACCUAAUCAGAAAGCCACGGCUAACUACGUG